GGAGGAAUGGCCGAGUGGUUGAAGGCGGCGGUCUUGAAAACCGCUAGGGCCGAAAGGCCCUCGGGGGUUCGAAUCCCUCUUCCUCCGCCA
rnacentral:tRNA from 1 species